GAUGAACGCUGGCGGCGUGCUUAACACAUGCAAGUCGAACGAAGCAUUUAAGACAGAUUACUUCGGUUUGAAGUCUUUUAUGACUGAGUGGCGGACGGGUGAGUAACGCGUGGGUAACCUGCCUCAUACAGGGGGAUAGCAGCUGGAAACGGCUGGUAAUACCGCAUAAGCGCACAGUACCACAUGGUACAGUGUGAAAAACUCCGGUGGUAUGAGAUGGACCCGCGUCUGAUUAGCUUGUUGGCGGGGUAACGGCCCACCAAGGCAACGAUCAGUAGCCGACCUGAGAGGGUGACCGGCCACAUUGGGACUGAGACACGGCCCAGACUCCUACGGGAGGCAGCAGUGGGGAAUAUUGCACAAUGGAGGAAACUCUGAUGCAGCGACGCCGCGUGAGUGAAGAAGUAGUUCGCUAUGUAAAGCUCUAUCAGCAGGGAAGAUAGUGACGGUACCUGACUAAGAAGCUCCGGCUAAAUACGUG
rnacentral:rRNA from 1 species